CAGCACCUCAAGUGGUCAGGAUGAUUACUGGGCCUAAAGCAUCCGUAGCCGGCGCUGUAAGUUUUCGGUUAAAUCUGUACGCUCAACGUACAGGCUGCCGGGAAUACUGCAGCGCUAGGGAGUGGGAGAGGUAGACGGUACUCGGUAGGAAGGGGUAAAAUCCUUUGAUCUAUUGAUGACAACCUGUGGCGAAGGCGGUCUACCAGAACACGUCCGACGGUGAGGGAUGAAAGCUGGGGGAGCAAACCGGAUUAGAUACCCGAGUAGUCC
rnacentral:rRNA from 1 species